rfam:Macrococcus caseolyticus JCSC5402 DNA, complete genome.
AGGUGUCUGAAGAGUACGACAUUAGUUUUUAUAUUUUGACCUAACACUUUAUGAUCAGGGAGCCUAAUAGGUUUUCUUAGGAUGCACACGCCUCUACUGGAGGACUUGCUGAAUAAGAAACAGGGCACCCACCUGAAUUUAUCAGGCCAAAAUGAUCAACUAUACAAUGACGGCUCAGUUGGAUACUAU